AGCAGUGGGGAAUCUUGCGCAAUGGGCGAAAGCCUGACGCAGCCAUGCCGCGUGAAUGAUGAAGGUCUUAGGAUUGUAAAAUUCUUUCACCGGGGACGAUAAUGACGGUACCCGGAGAAGAAGCCCCGGCUAACUUCGUGCCAGCAGCCGCGGUAAUACGAAGGGGGCUAGCGUUGCUCGGAAUUACUGGGCGUAAAGGGAGCGUAGGCGGACAUUUAAGUCAGGGGUGAAAUCCCGGGGCUCAACCUCGGAAUUGCCUUUGAUACUGGGUGUCUUGAGUAUGAGAGAGGUGUGUGGAACUCCGAGUGUAGAGGUGAAAUUCGUAGAUAUUCGGAAGAACACCAGUGGCGAAGGCGACACACUGGCUCAUUACUGACGCUGAGGCUCGAAAGCGUGGGGAGCAAACAGGAUUAGAUACCCUGGUAGUCCACGCCGUAAACGAUGAUUGCUAGUUGUCGGGAUGCAUGCAUUUCGGUGACGCAGCUAACGCA
rnacentral:rRNA from 1 species